ACGGGUGAGUAACGCGUGGGAAUCUACCUUUUGCUACGGAAUAACGCAUGGAAACGUGUGCUAAUACCGUAUGUGCCCUUCGGGGGAAAGAUUUAUCGGCAAAGGAUGAGCCCGCGUUGGAUUAGCUAGUUGGUGGGGUAAAGGCCUACCAAGGCGACGAUCCAUAGCUGGUCUGAGAGGAUGAUCAGCCACAUUGGGACUGAGACACGGCCCAAACUCCUACGGGAGGCAGCAGUGGGGAAUAUUGGACAAUGGGCGCAAGCCUGAUCCAGCCAUGCCGCGUGAGUGAUGAGGGCCUUAGGGUUGUAAAGCUCUUUCACCGGUGAAGAUAAUGACGGUAACCGGAGAAGAAGCCCCGGCUAACUUCGUGCCAGCAGCCGCGGUAAUACGAAGGGGGCUAGCGUUGUUCGGAUUUACUGGGCGUAAAGCGCACGUAGGCGGAUCGAUCAGUCAGGGGUGAAAUCCCAGGGCUCAACCCUGGAACUGCCUUUGAUACUGUCGAUCUGGAGUAUGGAAGAGGUGAGUGGAAUUCCGAGUGUAGAGGUGAAAUUCGUAGA
rnacentral:rRNA from 1 species